UACGCAGGGUGCAAGCGUUAUCCGGAAUCACUGGGCGUAAAGCGUGCGUAGGUGGGAAUUUAAGUGAGAUGUGAAAUCGUGUGGCUCAACCAUAUCGUUGUAUCUCAUACUGGGUUCCUAGAGGACGGCAGAGGCAAGUGGAACUAGCAGUGUAGCAGUGAAAUGCGUAGAUAUUGCUAAGAACACCAAUGGCGAAGGCAGCUUGCUGGGCCACUCCUGACACUGAGGUACGAAAGCGUGGGGAGCGAACAGG
rnacentral:rRNA from 1 species